GGCCCAAUCCCAAUGUCCCCUUUAAACCCAGAACCCGCACAGACUUAAUUGACGUCACCUGGUAAGUGAGGCUGCAUGGGUUCAAAAUGCUAUAAAUAGUAAUGGGACAGCAUAUUGCGACAUUAUCAUGUUACUUUGACGACGUUGAAACAUGUUGCACAGUAGUAUUAUGUAGUAUUGGGAACUUUUUAUUUUAAGUUUUUUACUUUCUUCGCGGCACAGACCGGCUGUCUGAUUUCUACGUUCUGCAGGCUCUUUCCCUACAGAGUGGAUGAGAGGACAGGGCCAGAUCAAAGCAUGGACAGUUACAGAGUGAGGAAUAUGAAGCACCUGUCAGAGAAGGGCCUCCAUUCCCUCUUUGUUUGGGGACAGCGCAUCUGACGAGCAGAAGCAGCCCAUAAAGCAACGGAGGAUGCUGGGACCAGGAGAACAACAGAGGUUGGCUACAGAGGUAAGAUGUGAUGAAAUGGUCAGUGUUUCCCCUAUAACUUUUUUUCAGGCCUGGUAGUAUGUAGCCAAAACCAAAAACCCUGAACAAUCAGCACCUUAGUAAUCAUAUACUUGACUUGGACAUAGGCAUGUGUUCAGUCAGGAUCACUUGCAUCAAAAUAGCUUUAUUGCAAAUGAAAGCUGAUGAUGUAUCUUUUACAGAUGUUAUACCAUCCUGAUUCAUGCUAAGGAGAGGUUCUCCUUCACCCAGCACCUCAUCAGCGUAACACUGUUGCACGGAGAGUUGUUCCCACAACACAGUGUGAAGUUCCCCCGAUACAGCGCUUGAAA
rnacentral:lncRNA from 1 species